rnacentral:rRNA from 1 species
AGUGAACGCUGGCGGUAGGCCUAACACAUGCAAGUCGAACGGCAGCACAGUAAGAGCUUGCUCUUACGGGUGGCGGGUGGCGGACGGGUGAGGAAUACAUCGGAAUCUACUUUUUCGUGGGGGAUAACGUAGGGAAACUUACGCUAAUACCGCAUACGACCUACGGGUGAAAGCAGGGGAUCUUCGGACCUUGCGCGAUUGAAUGAGCCGAUGUCGGAUUAGCUAGUUGGCGGGGUAAAGGCCCACCAAGGCGACGAUCCGUAGCUGGUCUGAGAGGAUGAUCAGCCACACUGGAACUGAGACACGGUCCAGACUCCUACGGGAGGCAGCAGUGGGGAAUAUUGGACAAUGGGCGCAAGCCUGAUCCAGCUAUACCGCGUGGGUGAAGAAGGCCUUCGGGUUGUAAAGCCCUUUUGUUGGGAAAGAAAAGCAGCAGGUUAAUACCCCGCUGUUCUGACGGUACCCAAAGAAUAAGCACCGGCUAACUUCGUG